rnacentral:ncRNA from 1 species
ACUGAGCCGUCGGGCUGGGACCUGAAGCAGGAACGGCACUGCACCGGGACUGGGCGGGGCUCGCCGUUCACGCGGCGCGGCCAAGCCCGGACCAGCGUCGGGACCUUCCUGUGGAAAGCCUCAGCUGCGCGGCGUCUGAGGGCUUCGUGCCCAAAGUGCUAUGCUUCGGCCGGCAAAAAACAGUCAACUCAGAACUGGCACGGACCGGGGGAAUCCGACUGUCUAAUUAAAACAAAGCAUUGCGAUGGCCGCUGGUCGGUGUUGACGCAAUGUGAUUUCUGCCCAGUGCUCUGAAUGUCAACGUGAAGAGAUUCAUCAAAGCGCGGGUAAACGGCGGGAGUAACUAUGACUCUCUUGUGGUAGCCAAAUGCCUCGUCAUCUAAUUAGUGACGCGCAUGAAUGGAUUAACGAGAUUCCCACUGUCCCUAUAUA